rnacentral:rRNA from 1 species
AUUGAACGCUGGCGGAAUGCUUUACACAUGCAAGUCGAACGGCAGCACGGACUUCGGUCUGGUGGCGAGUGGCGAACGGGUGAGUAAUGUAUCGGAACGUGCCCAGUCGUGGGGGAUAACGUAGUGAAAAUUACGCUAAUACCGCAUACGAUCUAUGGAUGAAAGCGGGGGAUCGCAAGACCUCGCGCGAUUGGAGCGGCCGAUAUCAGAUUAGGUAGUUGGUGGGGUAAAGGCCCACCAAGCCAACGAUCUGUAGCUGGUCUGAGAGGACGACCAGCCACACUGGACAUGAGACACGGUCCAGACUCGUACGGGAGGCAGCAGUGGGGAAUUUUGGACAAUGGGCGAAAGCCUGAUCCAGCCAUUCCGCGUGCAGGAUGAAGGCCCUCGGGUUGUAAACUGCUUUUGUACAGAACGAAAAGGUUUCUACUAAUACUAGGAGCUCAUGACGGUACUGUAAGAAUAAGCACCGGCUAACUACGUGCCAGCCGCCGCCGUAA